CUACUCCUUGUCCAGUGCCCACUGCAGUACCACGUGGUAUCGAUCUGUGCUUGAUGUUUUCUGUUUAGACAUUUUAAAGACCAUGACCCUACAGAUGUUAAUUGGUAUGACGGAAGAAGAAAAAUUUUUGCAGAACAGAUUUUUUGUAUGCUGUGUCCGUGUCAGGUACAUAAGGUGAAGCAAGCUAUGGACUAGACAGUGUAUUCAGCUUUCUCUGCUGAAAUAAUGUGACCAAAUCAAGUGUCACCUGGAAAGAGGAAUGUCAAUGGUGCUUUUUACAUCACCUCCAAAAUAGCCAUUGGAAAGUUCAAGCCAGAUCUGCUACAGCAAAUUGAACAUAAAGUGGCAUACUUUUGUGUCAGGAAAUGAGGAACAUGUAUGGCUGGACUGAGAAUCUAACUGGAGAUCCCUGCAUCACUACUUACAUAUCCCAUGGAAAUAUAGGAUCCUUGGCUAAUCAAGUGUCAUCUGCAGUGUUACAAAAGAAUAUUGGAUAUCAAUAAGAAAAAGAACUACCAGAAGGAGACGGUAAAGAGGAACAGACAUAUCACACCAUAAGACGUGCUUCAAAAUCUGAAUAUACAGAA